rnacentral:rRNA from 1 species
GAUGGUUCGAUUAGUCUUUCGCCCCUAUACCCAGUUCAUACGAUCGAUUUGCACGUCAGAAUCGCUACGGACCUCCAUCAGGGUUUCCCCUGACUUCAUCCUGACCAGGCAUAGUUCACCAUCUUUCGGGUCCCAGCGUGUACGCUCUUGGUGCGCCGCAACUUGCAAUAAGUAUGCGACGCCCCGGGAAUGCGAGGUAACAUAAAUAACGUUACCCAUCUUCCCUUUAUAAAAUAGAAUUAUAAAAAUUAUAUAUAUAUAUUUACUUUCAUUGCGCCUUUAGGUUUAUUAUAAAUACCCAAUGACUUGCGCACAUGCUAGAUG